rnacentral:rRNA from 1 species
AGUGAACGCUGGCGGUAGGCCUAACACAUGCAAGUCGAACGGCAGCACAGUAAGAGCUUGCUCUUACGGGUGGCGAGUGGCGGACGGGUGAGGAAUACAUCGGAAUCUACUUUUUCGUGGGGGAUAACGUAGGGAAACUUACGCUAAUACCGCAUACGACCUACGGGUGAAAGAAGGGGAUCUUCGGACCUUGCGCGAUUGAAUGAGCCGAUGUCGGAUUAGCUAGUUGGCGGGGUAAAGGCCCACCAAGGCGACGAUCCGUAGCUGGUCUGAGAGGAUGAUCAGCCACACUGGAACUGAGACACGGUCCAGACUCCUACGGGAGGCAGCAGUGGGGAAUAUUUGACAAUGGGCGCAAGCCUGAUCCAGCCAUACCGCGUGGGUGAAGCAGACCUUCGGGUUGUAAAGCCCUUUUGUUGGGAAAGAAAAGCAGCAGGUUAAUACCCCGCUGUUCUGACGGUACCCAAAGAAUAAGCACCGGCUAACUUCGUG